rnacentral:lncRNA from 1 species
ACGAAACCGCGAUGGUUGUUGGUGAAGGUGACUAGUCGGAGUCGAUUUCGACUAGUUGUUGACGGUGCGAGGCCCGACCCCGACUAGUUUUCUAGUCAAGAUGAGUAGCCGAAGUGGUUGUUGUCGGAGCGUCGGCGCUUGCGAUCUUGUCAGUGUGGUGGUACAUGCUGCUGGCGCUUGAUUAUUAGGGGCACUGUAUAACCUGAUCAAGGAACAUGCAGGCUGCGUACGUAUUGUGUGUGCUUGAUGUUUAUUUCGUUGCCGUGAAAUCCUUCCUCCUUGAUCCGCGUGAAUAUUAA